rnacentral:rRNA from 1 species
CCCUUAGAUGUUCUGGGCCGCACGCGCGCUACACUGUUCGACGCAGCGAGUCUUAACCUUGACCGAAAGGUUUGGGUAAUCUUCAGCAAAGUCGAACGUGAUGGGGAUCGAUCAUUGCAAUUAUUGAUCGUGAACGAGGAAUUCCUAGUAAGUGCAAGUCAUCAGCUUGCGCUGAUUACGUCCCUGCCCUUUGUACACACCGCCCGUCGCUACUACCGAUUGAAUGGUUUAGUGAGAUCUCUGGAUUGACGCUGGCUAGGGGGCGACCCUUGGCCAGACUGCUCGAGAAACUGUUCAAACUUGAUCAUUUAGAGGAAGUAAAAGUCGUAACA